GUUUAAUUAUUUGAAGUAUCUCCUGAUAUGUCUUUAUUUACAAAUUUGGAGUUGAAUGUGACUCCAUUGUAAUGAGUGAUGAGAUUUUUUUCUAAGAUAUAGCUUUGGGGAUUAUGAUUUCUGCAGAAUCAACUUUUACGUUUGCAAUUUAAGCAAAUAUCAGUAGGUUCGUUUCAAAGUUCAAAUUGUGCUAAAAUGUAUAAUACAACUGACUUCAUGAUUACUCUUAACACCAUCUUUGGAGAAAUUUUGGUGAGGAAGGAAAAUGAGAGGAAUGA
rnacentral:misc_RNA from 1 species